rnacentral:rRNA from 1 species
GACGAACGCUGGCGGCGUGCUUAACACAUGCAAGUCGAACGGAAAGGCCCUGCUUUUGUGGGGUGCUCGAGUGGCGAACGGGUGAGUAACACGUGAGUAACCUGCCCUUGACUUUGGGAUAACUUCAGGAAACUGGGGCUAAUACCGGAUAGGAGCUCCUGCUGCAUGGUGGGGGUUGGAAAGUUUCGGCGGUUGGGGAUGGACUCGCGGCUUAUCAGCUUGUUGGUGGGGUAGUGGCUUACCAAGGCUUUGACGGGUAGCCGGCCUGAGAGGGUGACCGGCCACAUUGGGCCUGGGCUACGGCACAGACUCCUACGGGAGGCAGCAGUGGGGAAUAUUGCACAAUGGGCGGAAGCCUGAUGCAGCAACGCCGCGUGCGGGAUGACGGCCUUCGGGUUGUAAACCGCUUUCGCCUGUGACGAAGCGUGAGUGACGGUAAUGGGUAAAGAAGCACCGGCUAACUACGUG